GACGAACGCUGGCGGCGCGCUUAACACAUGCAAGUCGAACGGAAAGGCCUGCUUUCCCUUGUGGAUUGCGGGUACUCGAGUGGCGAACGGGUGAGUAACACGUGAGUGAUCUGCCCCCAACUUGGGUAUAAGCCUGGGAAACUGGGUCUAAUUCCCGAUAGGACUGCAGGGUGGUGCCUGUGGUGGAAAACGAUUUUCUAGUGGUUGGGGAUGAGCUCGCGGCCUAUCAGCUUGUUGGUGGGGUAAUGGCCUACCAAGGCGGCGACGGGUAGCCGGCCUGAGAGGGUGGACGGCCGCAUUGGGACUGGGAUACGGCCCCGACGCCUACGGGAGGCAGCAGUGGGGAAUAUUGCACAAUGGGCGGAAGCCUGAUGCAGCGACGCCGCGUGGGGGAUGUCGGCCUUCGGGUUGUAAGCUCCUUUCGACCGCGAGGAAGCCACCUGGUUGGAAGGGUGGUGACGGUAGUGGUAGAAGAAGCACCGGCUAACUACGUG
rnacentral:rRNA from 1 species